CAGAACAAUACUGAAACAAAUAAAAUGGGGGGUUGGGAUGACAACACUAGCCAAUAAAAGGUGGUUAUAUUGGCAGUUCUUUUAUUUGUUCGCUGUACAGUGCCCCAUGGCUUCUCUUGCUAUCUUUUUGUCUUACUUAAAGUGCUGGUCAUACGGUUAUGUGGUUAAAGUUAAGGCAUUAUCGUUGCUCAUAAAAUCGUAAAUGACCACUGUCACCCGACACUGGUCUUCCCGAAAACAAACGUAAAUACAUGGUUAUUGGCAGUGAUGGCAGAACCAUUGUUAGGUGUAACUCCAUCGACGUCUUUCUUUCCUUUGCAAUCUAAAGAAGUUAAAGUGCCUUCAGGGUAAUUUUUUUGGCUAGUUGUUGUCUGCUAACCUUUGAGGUUAAUUGCAUUCUAAGGCGUCAGUAUACUCCCCCCUGUUUAAUGCAUAUACACCCGACAAUGCAUUGCCAAUCAUCCCAGUGGCACAUUUGUGCUGCCAGUCACGAAGUCACGAAGGAAAAUGUUGGCUAAAUGAACUACUGUAAUUUUUAAUUGAUGAAGAUCACCAGCCGCUGUCAUGUAUUUUUGGUUAUUCUGGUGUGGUUUAAGUUAAGGAUUAACUUUUUAUUCAUUUUUAUCUCUCAUCGGUAUUUUGACUGCCCAACAAUUAGGGAGACAGACGUUUAAUUGGUCAUUGCGUCAAAUGAUGAUAACAUUGUAUUCUAAUCUUUGUUUGAAUAGUUAUUCACGAAUAAAUCAGGUCUUGUGGCAGCUAUAUGGAAAUAUUA